GACAGAGGGUGCAAACGUUGUUCGGAAUUACUGGGCGUAAAGCGUGUGUAGGCGGCCGCGCAAGUCGGAUGUGAAAUCCCCGGGCUCAACCCGGGAAGGGCACCCGAAACUGCACGGCUUGAGUACCGGAGAGGUUGGUGGAAUUCUCGGUGUAGAGGUGAAAUUCGUAGAUAUUCGGAAGAACACCAGUGGCGAAGGCGACUCACUGGACACGUAUUGACGCUGAGGUGCGAAAGCGUGGGGAGCAAACAGG
rnacentral:rRNA from 1 species